rnacentral:antisense_RNA from 1 species
CUUGAUCGAUCCCAGCAGCAGCGGGCGGCCGGCUUCCCGGUCCUGGCCGUAGGUGGCCAGCAGCGCCUGCGCCUC